rnacentral:misc_RNA from 1 species
GGAAGGAUCAUUAUUCUGCUACAAACAAAAACCUUCUUUAAAGGGGAUAGGUCCUUAACUGGACUUGUUCCCUUUAUUGAACAAGUGUUACCUUUACUUGUCGAAUCUAAAGUGCAAAAUUGCUAUUUAAUUCGAUCCGCGGGGAGGCAGCCGCGUCAACAAGGACGUCUGUAAACGAAUUUUUUUUUGGGGGGAGUCUUCUUUAUUCUUUUUUUACCUGGUCUCGACUGGGUUAAAAAGAAAUGAAGUGCCCUCGACUGAAACUCAUGAUAAGUUGACCAUCAACUUUCUUAUGAUAAAGUUAAGGUUCUCACCUUGUGUGAAACCUUCAAACCUACAAAAUACAACUCAUAACGGUGGAUUUCUAGGCUCGUGUACCGAUGAAGAACGUAGCAAACUACGAUAACUAGUGUGAAUUGCAAAAUACGUGAAUCAUUGAAUCUUUGAAUGCACACUGCACCGAGGGUCUAAUAACCUUUGGUCUAUCUGGUCGAGUGCCGAUUCUCAAUCACCAAACAAACAAAGUUCUUGUAACUCUGGUUUAGUUAGGUGGAUUUUGAGAGUGGAAAGGGGGCUUUCCCUUUUCCUCUCUUUAAGUUUACGAGAUGGGGAGGUUUUUAACUAAAUCUCUCAAGUCCAACCCCUAGAGUCCUGCGGAGAGAGACUCAUGAUUUUAUCGGGGAGUUGCGACGGUCGUUCUUCAUUACCUCUUUCCUUUCCUUUAUUGGAAGGGAAAGGGAGUUGAAGAAGUCGCGGGUACACCUCUUGGUCUUACAAGGGGGGGAGGUUGGAAUCAUUCCAAAGGCUCCUUUCUAUCCGUCAAGACGGGGAUGCAAAUCCAAGUUAAGACGAGGUGAAUGGGUGCUGGUUUCAACUAGAGAUCCUUCUAAAGACACGAUUGGCCUUGAAACGAAUCCACCUCGUCUUUUUUUCGGGGUUCGGUUUGAGAGGACGAUCGCUAACUUCGUAGUAUCGGUCUAGGCUGGUAAGGCGUGAGUUGGGUGAGGUUUCUGUUAUCUGUGAUUACUUUGGCGUAGUUUUGAAGCUAAUUGACUUAAUAACUAAGGGGGGGUGAUGUUUUUUAAACAUAAAACCCUUCUUAACGGCCUCGGCUCAGGUAGGAUUACCCGCUGAACUUAAGCAUAUUAGUAAGCGGAGGAAAAGAAAUUAACUAAGAUUCCCUCAGUAACUGCGAGUGAACCGGGAGGAAGCCCAGCCCUGAAUCGGGGAGGAUUCGUCUUCUUCCGAAUUGUGGGGUUUGUCGGGGUUGGUCAGGCACUUAAGUGGCAGCGAAGUCAUUCUGGAAAGGUGUACCACAGAGGGUGAUAGUCCCGUAGUUGCUGCUUGAGGGCUGGACUGAUUUCGGCUAGAGUCGAGCUGUUUGGGAGUACAGCUCUAACGGGUGAUAAAUUUCAUCCAAGGCUAAAUAUUAACACGAGACCGAUAGCGAACAAGUACCGCGAGGGAAAGAUGCAAAGAACUCUGAAAAGAGAGUUAAAAGUACAUGAAACCGUUAUGAGGUAAAGCGGUGGCCAGGGUACUUUCCUCUGGUUGAGGGAUCAGCUCACGGGAGUUUCAGGAUGCUUGUUUACGGGUGUUCGUAAGGAUAUCUUAGGCGAGUAUUCAUGGGGCUUCUAGGAGUGUAUUCCCUUGAUCGGAGGGUCACUGUGUGUUUUGCUCGAUUUUGAAGGCUUGGUAGUUGUCCUCGGACGAUGAAGGGCUUUAGAGGUUGGGUGGGACACAGGUCUCUCCAUUCUGGGGAGAACGGGUAGCGCUCAGCUCUUAAGGAUGCUACCCCCGACAGUGAAUACACGGUACCAUGGUUACUGACCCGUCUUGAAACACGGACCAAGGAGUCUAUCAGGUGUGCGAGUUCGAGGGUGAGUAAAACCCAAGGGCAAAAUGAAAGUAAGAGGUGUGAUAUCUGUCAAGGAUUGCAACACCGGCCGACUCGGAUCACUCGUGGUUCAGGGUCGAGCUGGAGCAUAUCUAAUAGAACCCGAAAGGUGGCGAACUAUGCCCGUACAGGAUGAAGCCAGGAGAAAUCCUGGUGGAGGUCCGUAGCGGUAUUGACGUGCAAAUCAUUCGUCAGAUGCGGGUAUAGCGGCGAAAGACCAAUCGAGCCGCCUAGUAGCUGGUUCCCUC